rnacentral:rRNA from 1 species
UACGGGGGGGGCAAGCGUUGUUCGGAAUUACUGGGCGUAAAGGGCUCGUAGGCGGCCAACUAAGUCAGGCGUGAAAUCCCUCGGCUUAACCGGGGAACUGCGUCUGAUACUGGAUGGCUUGAGAUUGGGAGAGGGAUGCGGAAUUCCAGGUGUAGCGGUGAAAUGCGUAGAUAUCUGGAGGAACACCGGUGGCGAAGGCGGGUCUCUGGGCCGUAACUGACGCUGAGGAGCGAAAGCGUGGGGAGCGAACAGG